rnacentral:rRNA from 1 species
GUGCCAGCCGCCGCGGUAAUACGUAGGUGGCAAGCGUUAUCCGGAAUUAGUGGGCGUAAAGCGCGCGUAGGCGGUUUUUUAAGUCUGAUGUGAAAGCCCACGGCUCAACCGUGGAGGGUCAUUGGAAACUGGAAAACUUGGGUGCAGAAGAGGAAAGUGGAAUUCCAUGUGUAGCGGUGAAAUGCGCAGAGAUAUGGAGGAACACCAGUGGCGAAGGCGACUUUCUGGUCUGUAACUGACGCUGAUGUGCGAAAGCGUGGGGAUCAAACAGGAUUAGAUACCCUGGUAGUCAAGGGCG